UGGAUGGCAAUCAACUAGCUUUUACUCAGAGUAGACCCAUUGAAAUUAAUGGAUUUGCUCUGAGUAAAUGUUAGUUGACUACUACCCA